UGUGUGUUCCAGCUGUUCACCUGGCCGUUUAUGCAAAAGGACUGAACAUCUGAACACAGUGAAUCUACCAGACAGCUCAUAUUAGUGGAAAGAUGAACCAGCACGGGAGUCCAAAGCAGUAAUUUUAUACUGAACAAGUGGUGAUGGAGCUACUGAAACCUCUUUUCUUCUUUUUACUCAACUUCCAUUCGCUCCAGUUGUGUUCAUUACUUUGGUCAUUGAGUACCUCUUCUACCACUACCUGAGCAGAAUCACAGAAUGGUUGAGGUUGAAAGAGACCUCUGGAGGUCAUCUUGUCCAAUCCACCUUUUCGAGCAAGGUCACCCAGAGCACUUUGCCCAGGAUAUGUCCAGAUGGCUUGUGAAUAUCUCCAAGAAUGGAGACUCUACAACUUCACCUGUGCCAGUGCUCUGUCAUCUUCACUUCUGAGAUUUAAAGUAUACAAGUUUUGAAGUCCUGCACAUGCUCAAAAGCACCUGAGGCCUGAUAAAGCUAUGUGGCUAGAAACCAAGUCCAUGACCAAAUCCCCACAAAAGCUGCCCACCAGGAGAGCCUUUGCCAGAGGAAUCCAGCUGGAAAAGGGAUCUCCAUGCCACUGUCAUCUGAGUUUAUUGUCCAGGACUUAGUGAAAGUCUGCACACGAAAAACUGAAAAACAUGUAGGAGAAUGCAUGUGGAGCACCUUUACUUACAGUAAAAUGGGUCUUUCUACAAUACUGCUGAAAAGUGUUGGGAAGGGUACAUGGACCACAAAGGCUGUUUAACAAUGCAAUGGCUGCAGAGCCUGGAAAAUCGGGAGAUUUUAUCAAUGAAGGUCAAACUGUUGAGGUUUUAAACCUCAGGAGGCUGAAGAGCAAAAUUAUUUUUAUGGUGGCAAUCUGAAUAUCCAAAGGAACAGGGAAACUCUUGCAUGGGAACAGAAAAACAAUUAUGUCCUUAUCUGGUGCAGUGUGACAAAACAUUGGUUACAGCCUGUGAUUUCAAUUUAAAUUAUUUGGGAAAUUGGGCUCAAGACAUGCAAGCACUAGUAGGAGAUGCUAUGCAUGUUAUGCUGCCUCUUUUCAACUUGGAGGCAGGAACAGCUAUUUGCUCUCAUGGUGGGUGUCUAUAUGAAGCUAUUUGCAGCAUUAUUCUGAGGAAGGAUAAGCUUCUCUGCAGCUGAGUUUGGAGACUACCACU